UCUCUCUCUCUCUCGCUGAAUGGAAGGAUUCUUAUUUUGCUUUCCUACUGUUAAAUAUUUGGCUUGUUUUUUCUUCCUCUGUGCUCUUAUUACACUCCCAGGCCAGCAGAUGGCGGUAUAAACCUGAUUAUGUCACUCAGUCCUCCUUGUAAAAGCGGAAGAAGAAGAGAAGUUACGAAACCUGAAAGUAAACAGUGACGCGUUAGUGGAUAUUAAUGUUAACGUAACUCAGUUUACACUAAAUAACAGGGAGAAUUAAUAUCCAGUGCUGUUGUGUGCAGAUAUACAGCGUGUUAACAGCAAACUAAUUACAUUUUAAUCGAAAUUCGGAGGAAAAUCAGUCAGCGCAAUCAUGGAGGAGCAUAACAUCGGGCGGAUUUUAGUUCUUCUUGUCUCUCUGGUGGUUUACAUCGUUGCUUUGGCCAUCAACGCCUUGGCUGGAUCGGGAAGAGGACCGUUUUUGCACAGGACAGGAAACGUGUCCGCUCUGUAUGACACAGAAAUCACUCCCGCGGGUUGGACUUUCUCCAUAUGGGGAAUCAUCUACACCUGGCUUCUGCUGAUGAACGUGUAUCUCUUCAGCUGGGUCUGCAGAUGGACUGCCACCGGAUGGAUGUAUUGCAGUCCUGCUUUUCUUCCUUACGGCUUUUAUCUCUCCUGGACGAUUAACAUGCUCCUGAACAUCACCUGGCUGCUGCUAUGGGACCGAGAGUUGAUGAUUUCAGCACUAGUAUGUUUAGCUCUGAUUGCGUUCACCAGUUACCUCCUGAUCUUCUUCUCCUGUGUCGGUCUGCGAGCUCACGGAGCCUGGCUCAAACAGAACCAUCCCACAGAUCUCCUCUGCAUCUAUGUCCUGGUUCAGAACGGUAUUGCCACUUACGCAACAUGGACGACCGUAGCUACGCUCCUCAACUUGACCGUGGUGUUGGAUAUGACAUCCAUGUCCCCGACGAAUGCGGCCACUGUUUCUCUGUGCAUUCUGCUUUUAGAAGUGGUUGUAUGGUUUGCUGUUGAGAACUUUGUGAUCGAGAAGCACGUGCGCUACAUUCUGACCGUCUACCCCGUCGUCAUCUUCGCGCUGAGUGGAAGCCUGAGCAAACACUACGAUGCAGCAGCUCCAGGCAGAAACGCCGUGUUUUCAGCUGUUCUCCUGGCGCUGGCCUGCGUUUUCUUCACGAUCAGACUUUUUCUGGUGAUUCUGAGGCACCGUACUCGUCCUCUCUUCCAAGAUGGGAAUGCCGAAGGCCUAAUGAAUCCUGACCCCACCCCAGAAGAGUAGCAGCGUGGCUUUACAUUCAGCGGAUGAAACGCCAAAGCCUUUCAAUUCAUUCCGUUCCAAUGUAAAGAAGCGCAGCCUUUAACACUAAUACUUAAUACGCUACGAUGUAUUCGUCAUGCGCGGUAACCGUAUAAACCUGCAACGCCUUUGAUACGUGGCCAAAACGUACAUUCAUACAGUGCCAUGAGAAAAAAGUUUGCUUAGACUGACAUUUUUUGUCAUUUGGUUAGUCGUUGCGAUGAGUAGAAGAGUAACGAAGAGGCCGUGUUUAUAGUCUCGGAUAAUUAAAUGUGAAAUCCAGUAAGCUAAACUAGCGAGUCUAUUCGUGCGAUUAGUGUCAUCACGUGGAUCCACAUCCAUUUUUAUUCACUUGGCAGGACACGCGCGUGUCCAAUCCAAAACUCUAAAUACAGAGCAUGAGGUCUUUGAUUAAGGGUCCGACAAUGGCUCUCCGGCAGUGAGAGGAUUCUCAGUAACCGUAGAAACACGUACAUCGUUCUCUGAGGCCGAACUUUCACUACUUUCUACACUGUUACAUGGGAUCAUGACUGCACUGAUACCAGCUCAUCAUAUUAACUCUAAUCUCUUGAUUAUAAAUCUAAUCUCUUCAAUAUUCAACUGUGUAUUUGUUUACAGAGACUUAAAUAAGGAAUAAAACAUUUCUUGUAUGGGGAGAAAUUUCAAGUUACGGCUCUACAGUUAUAAAGCGCCGACGCUGGAGACUCAUUCCAUAAACGUUAAGUAAAUGUCUCUUUAUAGAAAUCUUCACGUUUUCAACAGUUACACGUUUUUUAAAAUCGAUUUAUCGUUUAUUACGGUAGAAAUGAAAACAUAUUAGAACGUGUUAGAAAAUCAUUCAAAUUAAUCAGCGCUAUCUGAGCAGUCAGAUCUGAGCGUUAUCUCAAAGAGUACUUUGAGAUGAACUUUUGAGGGUUAUUGGUUUGUUUUUUUUUUUUUGUAAUAACAAUACUCACAUUAAUAACGUGUGUUUGGAUGCUUUAAUUAAUAUUUUUGAUCUUGCUUUGAACAAUAUUACUUUAUAAAUGUUAAAUAAAAAAUGAAUACAAACUCUCUGAUGUAUUCUUUUACUCUUAUAUAGAGUAUAUAUCAGAAUUUUUGGCACUUUCAGUCUUAAUAUCUAUCUGUAGGUGUGUGUUUAUCCACUUUCAUGGACUUUCAUGUGGUUUUCCAUUUGUAUCGCAGGUGGAAAACUGAUCUAGCUUGCGACGCUUGCUUCACUUUUCCAGGUUGGUAGGCGUUAGCUUUGAUGGAAUUGGGUUGAAAUGGUAAAACUUAAGGUAUUCAAACAAACAAUAUAUAUAUAUAUAUA
ensembl:lncRNA